rnacentral:lncRNA from 1 species
GUUCUUUAGUAGAAGGAUAACAUGACAUAGCAGGAAUAAUACUGCCUUUUCUUUCUGGCAUGGAUCAAGAGAAAAGAAAAUACAAGAAAACAGACAGAAGCAAGGCAAGGUACUUCUAUGGAAGGGUGAGCCCUCACAGAUGGAGCAAUGGGGCGCGCACACCUGAACAAGGGAGGGGAAGGAGUUCUUAUCCCUGAUGCAUGUGACCCCUGCUGCUGUGUCCUUCCCCUAUUGGCUAAGGCUUCUGACAGCUUUGGAGAUUGUGACAUUGGAAUAAAGGAAAAACGUACAGGACUCAUGAAGCGCUGAAAUGUUCACAAAUAUCAAGCAAAAGUCAAUGAAAUUUAUUUUGAGCUAUUUACAUCAUUUAAUAAUUGAGCAAGGUAUACUCCUAUGAACAAAAUUUGGAGCAUGUUUGUCUCUCUCUGCCUGGCGUCUUCAGAAUUUGGAAACUAGUUGUCAGGAGUUAACUUUUAUGUGACAAGCUUUACUAGGUCAGGAGCCUAUCGCUGUUUAUAUUCUCUGCAAAGUUUUAAUUGUGAAAAAGGAUUUGAGAUGGUUUAUAAUCAGCUAUAGAAUUUUAACACGUGCUCUCAAAUGCAAGUUUCUGAUAACUUUGGAGAUUGUGACAUUGGAAUAAAGGAAGAGCUGGAAUGUUCAUGAAUAUCAAGCAAAAGUCAUGGAAAUUUAUUUUGAGCUAUUUACAGCAUUUAAUAAUUGAGCAAGGUAUACUCCUAUGAACAAAAUUUGGAGCAUGUUUGUCUCUCUCUGUCUGCCUGGCAUCUACAGAAUUUGGAAACUAGUUGUGCUGUACUGCAUGAGAAUGCCUGCAUUUAGUAUGCGAACUGGAAUUGGCAAAGGACGAUGGCUGCUCUCCCGCUAACUUUAAAUAAGUCAUGUCACAAAUUGCAUUCGUUCCCAGAUUUCCUAAACUUUCCAGAGAAAAUGGUCUUCUCCCUGGCUCAGCAAGAAGAUGAACUUUAAACACUGAGAAACUGGUCAUCUCCCUGGCUCAACCAGAAGAUGAACUUUAAACACUACUCUCAAUGACUUGAUGUUCCCAUCACUACUCCUGUCAUAAAGGGAGGGGACUCAGAUAUUGAGAAUUUUAUGAUAGUGUGAACUGUCUGCUGUCAGCCAGGAGGGCAGAGCUGAAAUUUAUUGCCACAUCACAUGAAGCAUAGAACAGACUCCACUACUCCUUGAGAUUCAAAACUUUGCCUCUCACAAAGUUACCUUUUAUUUUCCUCUUGUUUGUCACUCAUCUCCCCUAGUGUGCUCUUUUUAUUUCUUUUACUAUUAAUAAUAAAAUCUGUGGAUGACUG